rnacentral:snRNA from 1 species
AAAUCCAUAUUUUCCCGC